UAGGGAAUAUUGCAAAAUGGGCGAAAGCCCGAUGCAGCAACGCCGCGUGGGCGAUGAAGGCCUUCGGGUCGUAAAGCCCUUUUUGAGGGGAUGAGGAAGGACAGUACCCUCAGAAUAAGCCUCGGCUAACUACGUGCCAGCAGCCGCGGUAAAACGUAGGAGGCGAGCGUUAUCCGGAUUUACUGGGCGUAAAGCGCGUGCAGGCGGAUUGGAGAGUUGGGUGUGAAAGCUCCCGGCUUAACUGGGAGAGGUCGUUCAAUACUUCCAGUCUUGAGUGCAGUAGAGGGAAGUGGAAUUCCGGGUGUAGUGGUGAAAUGCGUAGAUAUCCGGAGGAACACCAGUGGCGAAAGCGGCUUCCUGGACUGUAACUGACGCUCAGACGCGAAAGCUAGGGUAGCAAACG
rnacentral:rRNA from 1 species